UGCAGUUAAAAAGCUCGUAGUCGGAUUUCAUGCAGAGAAGUAUAUGUUGGCCCUUUGGGUUACAAAGAAACCAUCUCUGCAUUCUUUUGCUGUUACUGCGUUCUCUCACUUUAUUGUGCGAAGCGUAUGUUCGGCAUCUUUUACUUUGAGAAAAUUAGAGUGUUCAAAGCAGACAUUUUUGUCUUGAAUAUUACUCAUGGAAUAAUAAUAUAUGACUUCGGUCUUCCUUUGUUGGUGUUUGUAGGCUGGAGUAAUGAUUGAUAGGGACAGUUGGGGUCACUAGUACUUCUUAGCGAGAGGUGAAAUUCUUAGACCUUAGAAAGACUAACUACUGCGAAAGCAUUUGACAAGGAUGUUCCCGUUGAUCAAGAACGAAAGUUGAGGGAUCGAAGACGAUCAGAUACCGUCGUAGUCUCAACCAUAAACUAUGCCAGCUAGGGAUUGGGAGAGGCCUAAUUUUACAAAGACUCUCUCAGCACCUUAUGAGAAAUCAAAGCAUUUGGGUUCCGGGGGGAGUAUGGUCGCAAGGCUGAAACUUAAAGGAAUUGACGGGAGGGCACCACCAGGAGUGGAGCCUGUGGCUUAAUUUGAUUCAACACGGGAAAACUUACCAGGUCCGGACAUAGUAAGGAUUG
rnacentral:rRNA from 1 species